AGGUUUUGAGCAGCGGUGUAGUAUCAGAUCCCAAAGAUAGUAAGUCUUUUCUUAUGAAGAAAAGUCUUUCUCAAAGAUUCUAUAGAAAUAGAUAUAUUAUAUAUGAAAUGAUAUAUGAAAUCGAGACGUAAAGAUCAAUUAACAAGGUUUUUGGCCGAUACAACAAGAACUGCUUACUUAUAUGAUGAUAGAUUAGAAAUCAACUUAUGUAAUAAAGUUGAUCCCCUAAGGUUUUGAGCAGCGGUGUAGUAUCGGAUCCCAAAGAUAGUAAGUCUUUUCUUAUGAAGAAAAGUCUUUCUCAAAGAUUCUAUAGAAAUAGAUAUAUUAUAUAUGAAAUGAUAUAUGAAAUCGAGAUAGUUACCUUUCAGAAAAUGAGAAUAAGGGCGUUAGUGUUAAUAUCGAUGCUUUAUUCUUCAGAAGGUAGGAGAAAAGAUAAAACUAAAAACAAACGAUUAAAUUGAAUUAUUAAUCCAAAGGCAAGUUUGAAACUCAUGUAAUUAACCUCUUUUCUCGUUAUUAACUCCAUGGAAGAUCAAAAGAAUUGACUGUUGAGCCGUAUGAGUCAGGAAACUCUCAAGUACGGUUCUAAGGGAAGGAUUUUACUCACCUAUUCCGACCGCGGAGAACAGGCCAUUCGACAAUAUUAUAUAUGAAAUGAUAUAUGAAAUCGAGAUAGUUACCUUUCAGAAAAUGAGAAUAAGAGCGUUAGUGUUAAUAUCGAUGCUUUAUUCUUCAGAAGGUAGGAGAAAAGAUAAAACUAAAAACAAGCGAUUAAAUUGAAUUAUUAAUCCAAAGGCAAGUUUGAAACUCAUGUAAUUAACCUCUUUUCUUGUUAUUAACUCCAUGGAAGAUCAAAAGAAUUGACUGUUGAGCCGUAUGAGUCAGGAAACUCUCAAGAACGGUUCUAAGGGAAGGAUUUUACUCACCUAUUCCGACCGCGGAGAACAGGCCAUUCGACAGGGAGAUUCUGAAAUUGCAGAAUCUUGGUUUGAUCAAGCUGCUGAAUAUUGGAAACAAGCUAUAGCCCCUACCCCUGGUAAUUAUAUUGAGGCACAAAAUUGGUUGAAGAUCACAGGGCGUUUUGAAUAAGAACAGUCUUUUUAUUAUUUUCUUUUUUUUUUUUCAAUUUUAUCACAUUCAUUUCUGUCGAAUUCUAAUCAAGCUGCUGAAUAUUGGAAACAAGCUAUAGCCCUUACCCCUGGUAAUUAUAUUGAGGCACAAAAUUGGUUGAAGAUCACAGGGCGUUUUGAAUAAGAACAGUCUUUUUAUUAUUUUCUUUUUUUUUCUUUCAAUUUUCUCACAUUCAUUUAUGUCGAAUUCUAUGUGAAGUGAAAGAGUUUUAUCAAGAUUCUUUUUUUUAUUGCCGAUAUAUUUGUUAAUGAAUCAAAAUUUAUAAGGAGUUGGUCAAUGAUGCUCAAACAUGUACUUGUUUUAAGUGCCUAUUUAUUUUCUAUUGGUAUCUAUGGAUUGAUCAGGAGCCGAAAUAUGGUUAGAGCCCUUAUGUGUCUUGAACUUAUACUGAAUGCAGUUAAUAUAAAUCUAGUCACUUUUUC
rnacentral:lncRNA from 1 species